AUUGAACGCUGGCGGCAGGCCUAACACAUGCAAGUCGAACGAGUGGCGGACGGGUGAGUAAUGUCUGGGAAACUGCCCGAUGGAGGGGGAUAACUACUGGAAACGGUAGCUAAUACCGCAUACCAUCGGAUGUGCCCAGAUGGGAUUAGCUAGUAGGUUGGGUAACGGCUCACCUAGGCGACGAUCCCUAGCUGGUCUGAGAGGAUGACCAGCCACACUGGAACUGAGACACGGCCCAGACUCCUACGGGAGGAAGCAGUGGGGAAUAUUGGACAAGGGGCGCAAGCCUGAUGCAGCCAUGCCGAGGGUAUGAAGAAGGCCUUCGGGUGGUAAAGUACUUUCAGCGGGGAGGCGUUACCGGCAGAAGAAGCACCGGCUAACUCCGUGCCAGCAGCCGCGGUAAUUC
rnacentral:rRNA from 1 species